UCACAUACAUGGCGAGUCCACAACGUCUUAAAAUUGUUUCUGUAAAGUGCAGUGAAUCGGAAUGUUCUGUUGUUGAUCCUCACUGUCAUGUUUUAUUGUCACACUUAAAUUUUCAUGUUCAUUAUGUUCACUUUAGAUGUGUAAACUGAUCAUUUAUGUAAAGUUCAUGAAGUUGUGAGUAAAAUUGGACAAUUUUAAAAUGUCGGUAAUAAAACAAAGUAUUUGAAUUA